GUAACAGGAAGCAGCUUGCUGCUUUGCUGACGAGUGGCGGACGGGUGAGUAAUGUCUGGGAAACUGCCUGAUGGAGGGGGAUAACUACUGGAAACGGUGGCUAAUACCGCAUAACGUCGCAAGACCAAAGAGGGGGACCUUCGGGCCUCUUGCCAUCAGAUGUGCCCAGAUGGGAUUAGCUUGUUGGUGAGGUAACGGCUCACCAAGGCGACGAUCCCUAGCUGGUCUGAGAGGAUGACCAGCCACACUGGAACUGAGACACGGUCCAGACUCCUACGGGAGGCAGCAGUGGGGAAUAUUGCACAAUGGGCGCAAGCCUGAUGCAGCCAUGCCGCGUGUAUGAAGAAGGCCUUCGGGUUGUAAAGUACUUUCAGCGGGGAGGAAGGUGUUGUGGUUAAUAACCGCAGCAAUUGACGUUACCCGCAGAAGAAGCACCGGCUAACUCCGUGCCAGCAGCCGCGGUAAUACGGAGGGUGCAAGCGUUAAUCGGAAUUACUGGGCGUAAAGCGCACGCAGGCGGUCUGUCAAGUCGGAUGUGAAAUCCCCGGGCUCAACCUGGGAACUGCAUUCGAAACUGGCAGGCUUGAGUCUUGUAGAGGGGGGUAGAAUUCCAGGUGUAGCGGUGAAAUGCGUAGAGAUCUGGAGGAAUACCGGUGGCGAAGGCGGCCCCCUGGACAAAGACUGACGCUCAGGUGCGAAAGCGUGGGGAGCAAACAGGAUUAGAUACCCUGGUAGUCCACGCCGUAAACGAUGUCUACUUGGAGGUUGUGCCCUUGAGGCGUGGCUUCCGGAGCUAACGCGUUAAGUAGACCGCCUGGGGAGUACGGCCGCAAGGUUAAAACUCAAAUGAAUUGACGGGGGCCCGCACAAGCGGUGGAGCAUGUGGUUUAAUUCGAUGCAACGCGAAGAACCUUACCUGGUCUUGACAUCCACAGAAGAAUCCAGAGAUGGAUUUGUGCCUUCGGGAACUGUGAGACAGGUGCUGCAUGGCUGUCGUCAGCUCGUGUUGUGAAAUGUUGGGUUAAGUCCCGCAACGAGCGCAACCCUUAUCCUUUGUUGCCAGCGGUUAGGCCGGGAACUCAAAGGAGACUGCCAGUGAUAAACUGGAGGAAGGUGGGGAUGACGUCAAGUCAUCAUGGCCCUUACGACCAGGGCUACACACGUGCUACAAUGGCGCAUACAAAGAGAAGCGACCUCGCGAGAGCAAGCGGACCUCAUAAAGUGCGUCGUAGUCCGGAUUGGAGUCUGCAACUCGACUCCAUGAAGUCGGAAUCGCUAGUAAUCGUGGAUCAGAAUGCCACGGUGAAUACGUUCCCGGGCCUUGUACACACCGCCCGUCACACCAUGGGAGUGGGUUGCAAAAGAAGUAGGUAGCUUAACCUUCGGGAGGGCGCUUACCACUUUGUGAUUCAUGACUGGGGUGAAGUCGUAACAAGGUAACCGUAGGGGAACCUGCGGUUGGAUCACCUCCUUA
rnacentral:rRNA from 1 species